UCAAAAUGGUAUCUAUGGACUGAAAAGGCGUCAACAUUAACACUACAGCAAACAAGUGAGCAGUUCCAGACCAAAAAUAAGAGAUAUAGCCAGGAUCUUUCAUGAAUGAUUUUUAUCACUGAGGUAAGAAGAAACAAAAUAGAUAAUACAUGCUGUAACCUUACAGGGCUCAAAGUCAUGUUCAGAAAUAUUCCUGGCAGGUGAGACAGAACAGCUGAGACGAGCACAUCUGAAACAGGUCUAAUGGCGUGGGUGCUGGCAUAGAGGAGGGAAAUGUGAAUAUAUAAGACCUGGUUUGCCUUCUUCAUGUUCUGCAUGAACAUGCAGUCGCUUCUUUUCAGCUUUUAGAAAGUACCACCCUUUACACAAAGGAUGCAGAAGAUAUAUGACUGUUUCAAGUUUUAAUUUAGCUAUAAAUGAAAGAAAGUAUUUUUAUAUAGCUGCCUGCCGCUCCAGGACAAAUGAUAAGCUUAGUAUUUUCCUACAUAUUGUGUGAGUCUGUUUGACAUCCUCCUGAAUCCACAGUGUUCUCUCCUUUAAAAAUGUAGCCCAAGUCUUAACUUUAAUCACAUUUUAAUAAAAGCUUAGUAUAAC